AUUGAACGCUGGCGGCACGCCUAACACAUGCAAGUCGAGCGGCAGCGAGACUAGUAGCAAUACUAGUUGUCGGCGAGCGGCGGACGGGUGAGUAACACGUAGGAAUCUGCCCUUAAGCGGGGGAUAACCAAGGGAAACUUUGGCUAAUACCGCAUAAUCUCGAGAGAGCAAAGCUGCCCGCAAGGGUGGCACUUGAGGAGGAGCCUGCGUCCGAGUAGCUAGUUGGUGGGGUAAUGGCCUACCAAGGCGAUGAUCGGUAACUGGUCUGAGAGGACGACCAGUCACACUGGGACUGAGACACGGCCCAGACUCCUACGGGAGGCAGCAGCGGGGAAUAUUGGACAAUGGGGGCAACCCUGAUCCAGCGAUGCCGCGUGAGUGAAGAAGGCCUUCGGGUCGUAAAGCUCUUUAGGUUGGGAAGAAGGGUAUUGGCUGAAUAAUCCAGUACUUUGACGGUACCGACAGAAUAAGCACCGGCAAACUCUGUGCCAGCCGCCGCUGUAAUAC
rnacentral:rRNA from 1 species